rnacentral:rRNA from 1 species
UACGAAGGGGGCUAGCGUUGUUCGGAAUCACUGGGCGUAAAGCGCACGCAGGCGGAUUGAUAAGUCAGGGGUGAAAUCCCGGAGCUCAACUUCGGAAUUGCCUUUGAUACUGUCUGUCUUCGAGUUCGGGAGAGGUUGGCGGAAUUCCUAGUGUAGAGGUGAAAUUCGUAGAUAUUAGGAAGAACACCAGUGGCGAAGGCGGCCAACUGGCCCGACACUGACGCUACAUGUGCGAAAGCGUGGGGAGCAAACAGG